AUCACUCAGAACUUAUCUGAACUAUGACCAUUUUGAAUUAGCUGCACAACAUUUUAAAAUUUUGAUUUUGCUACUCAAUCUAUUAAUUUAUUUAAUUUAAUUCAAUUAAAGAUUUUUUGACUUUAAAAUUUAAACUAAUUUCUUACUUUAAUAAAUUUAUAGUCGCAAGAAUUGCAUGAAUAUACUAACUAAAUCUGUAAAGACAAAUGACGCAUUUAUAUUUUAAAGUCGAAAUAUCUUGACUGAUUCAAAUCAAAUAAAUUGAAAAAUCUAAUAGUAAAAUUAAAAUUUUAAAGAAUUAAAUAGCUGAUUCAAAUUAAAUAAUCUAUACUUCAAGUUAUGUACAUUUUUAUCAGUUUUGCUGGGCUACUAUUGGCAGUAAACAACUUGAUUUACUAUUAAUUUAUUUUCGAUGAUAGAACUUUCAAAUUGAUGUUUUUUGACAUCACUAGCUAAAGAAUCAAAGGGUCAUAAAAUUUAUAAUUUUAAUGAAUGAUAUGGUGAAUUUGCCCGUUUAAUGAUAUAAAAGUCCAAAUUAGUUAAAUUUUUGUUACACAAAAUUUUUUAAACAAUUUAAAACAAAAUUUAGAUUCUAGAUUUUGAAUACAAAAAAAUCUUAAUAUUAUUUUUUUGAUGGAUAAUCAUUUUUAGCCAUUAAUUUUAUGCCGACCAACUGCAGCACCAGAGAAUAAUAUCGAAAAAGCAUGAAAUUUGAUUUCUAGUUAGUUUAAACAAUUUAAGAUCAUGCUCAACAAUUUUUGUCAUCGAAAAUAAAUGGAACCAUCAUUUUUAUCUUAAAAAUAAGUAAACAACAGUUGGGUAUUUAUUAUUAGGCUAAGGUAGGUCCAUGAGACUAAUAAGUUGAGUUGGGUGGGCCUAAUAAAUUGAGCGGGACUCGGUACGCAAGAGAGACCUAACGGCAAGAUGUCCAUCAGUAGACCAAACGUCCAGAUGAAUUGAGUCAGAUUGAAGCUCAUGAGUGAUGUGAUUGAGCCCUUGAGUAUGAUGAUGAUUGCGCUCUUUGUAUAAACACGUGUUUUCGAAAUAGUUGGUUAAGGGUCCGUUUGUUUUGGUGUAAGUGGAGGGAUGGAACUCAAGUUCCAUCACUUCCGUUAUUUAUUUUGGUAUAAGAAAAAAAUAUAAUGUAAUUCAAGUUAUGUUAGACCUCCACUUCAUCUACUAUCGACUUUCUCCUUUAAAGUGCCAAACUCGACUUCCGCCACACUCAAUCUCUUCUAAAAAAUUUAUUAAAUAGUAAAAUCUAAUUAGAAUUACCUUAUUUAUAAUAAUUUAGGAUUACCUUUAAAUAAUAAUAAAAAAUUAAUUAUAUAAUAGGUUAAAUUUUAUAGCGGUAAGUUUAUUACUAUAUUUAGGAGAUAAUGGGAUCCACUUACUUGCAUCAAAAUAAACAAUAAAAUUUAAAAAACUAAUUUCACAAACAUCAAGUUAUAUCAAAACAAAUAAAAGAAGUAAUUGAAUUUAACUUUCAGUCUAUACGAAUUACGUCAAAAUAAAUAAUAAAAAAUAAUCAUAUUUCAGAAAAACACAAAUAUAUAUAUAUAUAGUAAGUUUUCUGUACUUUCGAAAGUACGGAGACCUCCAUGCUUGUAAGUUGUUUUUGAUGAUAGAAAAUCCGAUUCGAUGAUCGGCUCCGUUAAGUAUAAUCUAUCCUAUUGGAACUAUUUAGAAACCAAAUUUUAUAAUUUUUUUACAUCAUUUACCAAGUGAUCAAACGGUCUCAAAAAGGACUAUUUUAGCGACCGAUCUGGCACGUUUUUAAGUUAAACGGUGUAGAAAUAUCCAAAAUAGAUGAAAAUUUACUAGAAAAUUCUACUUAACAUCAAUAGUAAGACCAAUACUUCCGAUUUGAAAUUUGAGUCCUUUAUCACUGUUUUUUAUGAGAUUUUCAUUUUCAGCCGUUCAUUUUAAGGCUACUCGUUUACUAGACAAACGAAGUCAAAAAAUUAUGAAAUUGGUUUUUAGGUAGUUCCAAUAGCGUAGAUCAUGUCUAACGGAACCGAUCGCCGAAUCGAAUGUCCUAUUAUUGAAAACAACUUACAAGUACGGAGGCUUCCGUACUUUCGAAAGUGUAGGAGCCUGUAUCACCCCCAUGAUACUUUUACAAGUAUUCUAGCCCUACUAUAUAUAUAUAUAUAUAUAUAUAUAUAUAUAUAUAUAUAUAAGAGAUAGGUAGCAUGUCAUCCAUUUUGUUUAUUUUAUUUAGAAAUAAAUUUAGCUGAAAAUAUGAACCAUUUCGUUUAUUUUAUUUAGAAAUAAAUUUAGCUGAAAAUAUGAAUUAAUUAGGAUUCGAACUUAAGAGUUCGGAUACCAAUAACUAAAUUUUUUGCCACUUAUUCUAAGGACAGUCGGUAACUCAAAUAUUAUUGUACUUGGAAGUUACGUUGAAUCU
rnacentral:lncRNA from 1 species